rnacentral:miRNA from 1 species
GAGGUUAGUCCUUCAAUGCGUAAAGCCAGCUAUUAGUCUGGCAAUGUUGUAUAAUAGCUGGCUUUACGCAUUGAAGGACUAACCUCCAAAAUGC